rnacentral:pre_miRNA from 1 species
CAAAUACUCCCUCCGUCCGGAAAUACUUGUCAUCAAAAUGGAUAAAAGGAAAUGUAUCUAGAUGUAUUUUAGUUUUAGAUACAUCUCUUUUUAUCCAUUUUGAUGACAAGUAUUUUCGGACGGAGGGAUUAGAAA